rnacentral:snoRNA from 1 species
UUGCAGCCAGUUAAGCCCACCAUGCUCUUUUCCCCGUGGGAGCCCAGUGUGCAACGGCUGCAAAUGUCAGCCUCCUCAGUAGUGUAAGCAGCCUGCUGGCCGAGUGGGUUGACCUAAGGGACCUAGGAGACAGAC